rnacentral:rRNA from 1 species
CCCUUCGAUGUUCUGGGCCGCACGCGCGCUACACUGAUAAAUUCAACGAGUUUACAACCUUUCCCGAGAGGGAUGGGUAAUCUUUGGAAAUUUUAUCGUGAUGGGGAUAGAUGAUUGCAAUUAUUCGUCUUGAACGAGGAAUGCCUAGUAAGCGCGGUUCAUCAGACCGCGUUGAUUACGUCCCUGCCCUUUGUACACACCGCCCGUCGCUCCUACCGAUUGAAUGGUCCGGUGAAAUCUUUGGAUUGCCGGUUUUGUUCACUGCAAGUUCGCUUGUAGUGACGCCAGCGAGAAGUUGAUUAAACCUUNUNAUUUAGNGGAAGGAGAANUCGUANCA